UGAAGAGUUUGAUCAUGGCUCAGAUUGAACGCUGGCGGCAGGCCUAACACAUGCAAGUCGAACGGUAACAGGAAGCAGCUUGCUGCUUUGCUGACGAGUGGCGGACGGGUGAGUAAUGUCUGGGAAACUGCCUGAUGGAGGGGGAUAACUACUGGAAACGGUGGCUAAUACCGCAUAACGUCGCAAGACCAAAGAGGGGGACCUUCGGGCCUCUUGCCAUCAGAUGUGCCCAGAUGGGAUUAGCUUGUUGGUGAGGUAACGGCUCACCAAGGCGACGAUCCCUAGCUGGUCUGAGAGGAUGACCAGCCACACUGGAACUGAGACACGGUCCAGACUCCUACGGGAGGCAGCAGUGGGGAAUAUUGCACAAUGGGCGCAAGCCUGAUGCAGCCAUGCCGCGUGUAUGAAGAAGGCCUUCGGGUUGUAAAGUACUUUCAGCGGGGAGGAAGGUGUUGCGGUUAAUAACCGCAGCAAUUGACGUUACCCGCAGAAGAAGCACCGGCUAACUCCGUGCCAGCAGCCGCGGUAAUACGGAGGGUGCAAGCGUUAAUCGGAAUUACUGGGCGUAAAGCGCACGCAGGCGGUCUGUCAAGUCGGAUGUGAAAUCCCCGGGCUCAACCUGGGAACUGCAUUCGAAACUGGCAGGCUUGAGUCUUGUAGAGGGGGGUAGAAUUCCAGGUGUAGCGGUGAAAUGCGUAGAGAUCUGGAGGAAUACCGGUGGCGAAGGCGGCCCCCUGGACAAAGACUGACGCUCAGGUGCGAAAGCGUGGGGAGCAAACAGGAUUAGAUACCCUGGUAGUCCACGCCGUAAACGAUGUCUACUUGGAGGUUGUGCCCUUGAGGCGUGGCUUCCGGAGCUAACGCGUUAAGUAGACCGCCUGGGGAGUACGGCCGCAAGGUUAAAACUCAAAUGAAUUGACGGGGGCCCGCACAAGCGGUGGAGCAUGUGGUUUAAUUCGAUGCAACGCGAAGAACCUUACCUGGUCUUGACAUCCACAGAACUUUCCAGAGAUGGAUUGGUGCCUUCGGGAACUGUGAGACAGGUGCUGCAUGGCUGUCGUCAGCUCGUGUUGUGAAAUGUUGGGUUAAGUCCCGCAACGAGCGCAACCCUUAUCCUUUGUUGCCAGCGGUCCGGCCGGGAACUCAAAGGAGACUGCCAGUGAUAAACUGGAGGAAGGUGGGGAUGACGUCAAGUCAUCAUGGCCCUUACGACCAGGGCUACACACGUGCUACAAUGGCGCAUACAAAGAGAAGCGACCUCGCGAGAGCAAGCGGACCUCAUAAAGUGCGUCGUAGUCCGGAUUGGAGUCUGCAACUCGACUCCAUGAAGUCGGAAUCGCUAGUAAUCGUGGAUCAGAAUGCCACGGUGAAUACGUUCCCGGGCCUUGUACACACCGCCCGUCACACCAUGGGAGUGGGUUGCAAAAGAAGUAGGUAGCUUAACCUUCGGGAGGGCGCUUACCACUUUGUGAUUCAUGACUGGGGUGAAGUCGUAACAAGGUAACCGUAGGGGAACCUGC
rnacentral:rRNA from 1 species